CGGAUAAGCUAGUUGCCCCGCUGUGCAAUUCGAACGAUUAGAAGUUGGGCUUGAAAUCAUGACGAUGCUUGUCAGGAUUCUAUCUUCGUUACUUUUGGGUGCCAUAAUGACGAUAGGGCCCUGUAGAGUUGAAAGUGCAGCUAAAAUUCGUAGAGAUGUUCAGUUAGUGGUAGUGGAUGUUGUGGAUGUUGUGGUUACCGAGAGCGAAGAGGAACAAUUUCCAAUGUUCGGGUUCGACCAAUACGCGAGCGGGCGCGGGGGAGACACAACGUGACGGUUGCAGAGUUGCUCCAGGGAAAACUUAACACUCGUUGGAUCGAGAAAUGGACGAUCCUUUGGCUGCCAAAAGGAAUUGUGGCUGCCAAUAUUUGGCUGCCAAAAUGAAU